AGCCACAGCCAUGUCACCCUGCAGCCCAAGACUGGUUACUCACUGAAGCUAAGCAGGGCUGAGCCUGGUUAGUACCUGGAUGGGAGACCACUAGGGAACACUAGGUUGCUGUUGGAA
rnacentral:rRNA from 1 species